rnacentral:tRNA from 1 species
GAGAGGUGGCCGAGUGGUUGAAGGCGCACGACUCGAAAUCGUGUAUGCGGCAACGUAUCGGGGGUUCGAAUCCCGCCCUCUCC